UGGGGAAUAUUGCACAAUGGGCGAAAGCCUGAUGCAGCAACGCCGCGUGAGUGAUGAAGGCCUUCGGGUUGUAAAGCUCUGUCUUUUGGGAUGAUAAUGACGGUACCAAAGGAGGAAGCCACGGCUAACUACGUGCCAGCAGCCGCGGUAAUACGUAGGUGGCAAGCGUUGUCCGGAUUUACUGGGCGUAAAGGAUGCGUAGGCGGAUUUUUAAGUGAGAUGUGAAAACCCUAAGCUUAACUUGGGGACUGCAUUUCAUACUGGAAAUCUAGAGUGCGGGAGAGGAGAAUGGAAUUCCUAGUGUAGCGGUGAAAUGCGUAGAGAUUAGGAAGAACACCAGUGGCGAAGGCGAUUCUCUGGACCGUAACUGACGCUGAGGCAUGAAAGCGUGGGUAGCAAACAGGAUUAGAUACCCUGGUAGUCCACGCCGUAAACGAUGAGUACUAGGUGUAGGAGGUAUCGACCCCUUCUGUGCCGCAGUUAACACAAUAAGUACUCCGCCUGGGAAGUACGAUCGCAAGAUUAAAACUCAAAUGAAUUGACGGGGUCAUAGCUG
rnacentral:rRNA from 1 species